rnacentral:rRNA from 1 species
AUUGAACGCUGGCGGCAGGCCUAACACAUGCAAGUCGAGCGGAUGAAGGGAGCUUGCUCCUGGAUUCAGCGGCGGACGGGUGAGUAAUGCCUAGGAAUCUGCCUGGUAGUGGGGGAUAACGUCCGGAAACGGGCGCUAAUACCGCAUACGUCCUGAGGGAGAAAGUGGGGGAUCUUCGGACCUCACGCUCUCAGAUGAGCCUAGGUCGGAUUAGCUAGUUGGUGGGGUAAAGGCCUACCAAGGCGACGAUCCGUAACUGGUCUGAGAGGAUGAUCAGUCACACUGGAACUGAGACACGGUCCAGACUCCUACGGGAGGCAGCAGUGGGGAAUAUUAGACAGUGGGCGAAAGCCUGAUCCAGCCAUGCCGAGUGUGUGAAGAAGGUCUUCGGAUUGUAAAGCACUUUAAGUUGUGAGGAAGGGCAGUAAGUUAAUACCUUGCUGUUUUGACGUUACCAACAGAAUAAGCACCGGCUAACUUCGUG